UAAUGUAUACUCACUAACUGUAAGUCGCUCUGGAUAAGAGCGUCUGCUAAAUGACUAAAAUGUUUUAAAAAAUAACGCCACACGUCUCUCUGGUCGUAUGUUCUCUACUGGUUGUGGUAGCAGCUAUGCAUACGGAGUGGAGGACAUGACGUUAGAGGAGGCGUACGAGCUGGGCCGCCGUGGCAUCACCCACGCACAGAGACGCCUACUCUGGAGGAGUGGUCAACCUUUACUACAUGAAGGAGGACGGCUGGAUAAAGGUGUGUAAGGAGGACGUGUCAGAGCUGAUCCACCACUACAGGAAGGGCAUGUUCUGAUCCCAGAUCAGCCUCCAUAUCCACACAGACCACACUGUGUUCUCUCUCAACUGAUCCCAACACUGCUCCAAAUAAAGACUGUUUUCAAACUGCA